UGGGGAAUAUUGCACAAUGGACGGAAGUUUGAUGCAGCGACGCCGCGUGGAGGGUGUAGGCCUUCGGGUUGUGAACUCCUUUUUCUCGCGAAAAAGGCACAGUUUUGGCUGUGUUGAUGGUAGUGGGGGAAGAAGCGCCGGCUAACUACGUGCCAGCAGCCGCGGUAAUACGUAGGGCGCGAGCGUUGUCCGGAUUUAUUGGGCGUAAAGAGCUCGUAGGUGGUUCGUCGCGUCUGUCGUGAAAGCCAGCAGCUUAACUGUUGGUCUGCGGUGGGUACGGGCGGGCUUGAGUGCGGUAGGGGGGACUGGAAUUCCUGGUGUAGCGGUGGAAUGCGCAGAUAUCAGGAGGAACACCGAUGGCGAAGGCAGGUCACUGGGCCGUUACUGACACUGAGGAGCGAAAGCGUGGGGAGCGAACAGG
rnacentral:rRNA from 1 species